rnacentral:rRNA from 1 species
GGUACUCUGGGGAUAACAGGCUGAUACCGCCCAAGAGUUCAUAUCGACGGCGGUGUUUGGCACCUCGAUGUCGGCUCAUCUCAUCCUGGGGCUGUAGCCGGUCCCAAGGGUAUGGCUGUUCGCCAUUUAAAGAGGUACGUGAGCUGGGUUUAAAACGUCGUGAGACAGUUUGGUCCCUAUCUGCCGUGGGCGCUGGAGAUUUGACGGAGCCUGUUCCUAGUACGAGAGGACCGGAAUGGACGUACCGCUGGUGUACCGGUUGUCAUGCCAAUGGCAUUGCCGGGUAGCUAUGUACGGAAGAGAUAACCGCUGAAGGCAUCUAAGCGGGAAACUCGUCUGAAGAUAAGAUCUCCCGGGGGCUUGACCCCCCUGAAGGGCCGUUCGAGACCAGGACGUUGAUAGGUCGGGUGUGGAAGCGCAGUAAUGCGUUGAGCUAACCGAUACUAAUUGCCCGUGCGGCUUGAUCCUAUAACCCUGGCGGUUGUA